AACGAACGCUGGCGGCAUGCCUAACACAUGCAAGUCGAACGCCCCGCAAGGGGAGUGGCGCACGGGUGAGUAACGCGUGGGAACCUGCCCCGAGGUGGGGGAUAACCGAUGGAAACGUCGGCUAAUACCGCAUACGUCCUAAGGGAGAAAGAUUUAUCGCCUUGGGAGGGGCCCGCGUCGGAUUAGCUAGUUGGUGAGGUAACGGCUCACCAAGGCGACGAUCCGUAGCUGGUCUGAGAGGAUGAUCAGCCACACUGGGACUGAGACACGGCCCAGACUCCUACGGGAGGCAGCAGUGGGGAAUAUUGGACAAUGGGGGCAACCCUGAUCCAGCAAUGCCGCGUGAGUGAUGAAGGCCUUAGGGUUGUAAAGCUCUUUCGGCGGGACGAUGAUGACGGUACCCGCAGAAGAAGCCCCGGCUAACUUCGUGCCAGCAGCCGCCGUAAG
rnacentral:rRNA from 1 species